CAGACAUAUAAUAAAACAAUGUCAAAAUUGUGUGACAUUUUUACCACAAGUUAAUCUUGGAGUCAAUCCUAGAGGACUGAUACCUAACCAUAUUUGGCAGAUGGACGUCACACACUUGCCAGAAUUUGGAAAAUUAAAAUAUUUACAUGUUACAGUCGAUACUUCUUCUGGAUUUUUGAUGGGCUCCCUUCAUGCCGGAGAAAAAACUAAAGAUGUUAUAGCUCAUUGCUUACAAAAUUUUGCCACUGUGGGCGUUCCUAAACAGUUAAAAACCGAUAAUGGUCCUGGCUAUACCUCUACCUCUUUUAAACAAUUUUGCUCAUCAUUUGGUAUUACUCAUGUAACAGGAAUCCCAUACAAUCCACAGGGACAAGGCAUAGUUGAAAGAGCUCAUCAAACUAUUAAAACAUACUUAUUAAAGCAAAAAGAGGGAAUUGGAAGGGGGUAUAUAUCCCCCAAAGAUAAACUUAAAAUAACGCUUUUUACUCUAAACUUUUUAAAUUUGGAUUCUUCAGGACUUAGUGCUGCGGAAAGGCAUAUGUAUCCAAAAAAUGUACAUAAGCCUAAAGUACUUUGGAAAGAUAUUCUAACAGGACAAUGGAAAGGUCCUGACCCAGUGAUUGUCUGGAGUCGGGGGUCUGUUUGUGUUUUUCCACAGGGAGAACAGCAGCCCAUUUGGAUUCCAGAGAGAUUAACUAAAACAGUUUCUACAGAUCGAAAAGAAGAUGAUUUGACUCAAAUCCAUAACAGCUGAUAUCCAGAACUCCAGCUUGGCCAUUCUUACAUCUGCGACAGUGAUUAACCAGGAUGCUUUUUUCAAUAGCUAUUUUAUUAUUGCAUUUUUCCACAUCAUAAGGUUCUAUUUUUAUUUUUUGAGCUCAUACAAACCUAGGUUAAUGUUUUUCUGAUCAGUUUUAUUUUUUGACUGUGGAGUUUUUAAACAUUGCAAUGGAGAUUUCACCUAGGAUAAUGUCUCUUUAGCAUCAUUGCCAGAAUUCCUAUCUCCAUCUCAGUGCUGGUGAAGAACUCAACAAGUAAUGCUCAAUCAAAGAGUCAACUUACUUUGGGAGGAAACGGAUUUUGGGAGGAAAUGGACAUAUUGAUAGAUUCCUCUGCUUUGAACUGCUUGCAGAACUUGCCUGGACUAUGUAACUAUCGUUUGAUGGUGUCACUAGUGAUGCAAUUUUUAUUUCCUUGCCAGCGCACCCCAUGUUAAUUGUGGUAGUGCUGGCAUAUCUUUGCUGAUGGUGUCACCAGUGAUGCAAUUUUUCCCAAGGAGCCGUCAAUUGGCUUGGUGUCGUGGCAUUUCUGUAUCCUCCUCCCUUCUGCUAGUGAUGGUCUAAAAUUUGGGGGCCAAUGGCUUAUGCUG